AGAGUUUGAUCAUGGCUCAGAUUGAACGCUGGCGGCAGGCCUAACACAUGCAAGUCGAGCGGUAGCACAGAGAGCUUGCUCUCGGGUGACGAGCGGCGGACGGGUGAGUAAUGUCUGGGAAACUGCCUGAUGGAGGGGGAUAACUACUGGAAACGGUAGCUAAUACCGCAUAACGUCGCAAGACCAAAGUGGGGGACCUUCGGGCCUCAUGCCAUCAGAUGUGCCCAGAUGGGAUUAGCUAGUAGGUGGGGUAAUGGCUCACCUAGGCGACGAUCCCUAGCUGGUCUGAGAGGAUGACCAGCCACACUGGAACUGAGACACGGUCCAGACUCCUACGGGAGGCAGCAGUGGGGAAUAUUGCACAAUGGGCGCAAGCCUGAUGCAGCCAUGCCGCGUGUGUGAAGAAGGCCUUCGGGUUGUAAAGCACUUUCAGCGGGGAGGAAGGCGNCGAUUGACGUUACCCGCAGAAGAAGCACCGGCUAACUCCGUGCCAGCAGCCGCGGUAAUACGGAGGGUGCAAGCGUUAAUCGGAAUUACUGGGCGUAAAGCGCACGCAGGCGGUCUGUCAAGUCGGAUGUGAAAUCCCCGGGCUCAACCUGGGAACUGCAUUCGAAACUGGCAGGCUAGAGUCUUGUAGAGGGGGGUAGAAUUCCAGGUGUAGCGGUGAAAUGCGUAGAGAUCUGGAGGAAUACCGGUGGCGAAGGCGGCCCCCUGGACAAAGACUGACGCUCAGGUGCGAAAGCGUGGGGAGCAAACAGGAUUAGAUACCCUGGUAGUCCACGCCGUAAACGAUGUCGAUUUGGAGGUUGUGCCCUUGAGGCGUGGCUUCCGGAGCUAACGCGUUAAAUCGACCGCCUGGGGAGUACGGCCGCAAGGUUAAAACUCAAAUGAAUUGACGGGGGCCCGCACAAGCGGUGGAGCAUGUGGUUUAAUUCGAUGCAACGCGAAGAACCUUACCUGGUCUUGACAUCCACAGAACUUUCCAGAGAUGGAUUGGUGCCUUCGGGAACUGUGAGACAGGUGCUGCAUGGCUGUCGUCAGCUCGUGUUGUGAAAUGUUGGGUUAAGUCCCGCAACGAGCGCAACCCUUAUCCUUUGUUGCCAGCGGUUAGGCCGGGAACUCAAAGGAGACUGCCAGUGAUAAACUGGAGGAAGGUGGGGAUGACGUCAAGUCAUCAUGGCCCUUACGACCAGGGCUACACACGUGCUACAAUGGCAUAUACAAAGAGAAGCGACCUCGCGAGAGCAAGCGGACCUCAUAAAGUAUGUCGUAGUCCGGAUUGGAGUCUGCAACUCGACUCCAUGAAGUCGGAAUCGCUAGUAAUCGUAGAUCAGAAUGCUACGGUGAAUACGUUCCCGGGCCUUGUACACACCGCCCGUCACACCAUGGGAGUGGGUUGCAAAAGAAGUAGGUAGCUUAACCUUCGGGAGGGCGCUUACCACUUUGUGAUUCAUGACUGGGGUGAAGUCGUAACAAGGUAACCGUAGGGGAACCUGCGGUUGGAUCACCU
rnacentral:rRNA from 1 species